rnacentral:rRNA from 1 species
GUCGAGCGGGCGUAGCAAUACGUCAGCGGCAGACGGGUGAGUAACACGUGGGAACGUACCUUUUGGUUCGGAACAACUGAGGGAAACUUCAGCUAAUACCGGAUAAGCCCUAACGGGGAAAGAUUUAUCGCCGAAAGAUCGGCCCGCGUCUGAUUAGCUAGUUGGUGAGGUAAUGGCUCACCAAGGCGACGAUCAGUAGCUGGUCUGAGAGGAUGAUCAGCCACACUGGGACUGAGACACGGCCCAG